rnacentral:rRNA from 1 species
AUGUUUAUCGCUGUAAAGGGGAAGAUCGUAACUGCAGAAUUUCGUACUGAGGUGGUAACUACAGCCUAUAGGGAGAGCUGUUGUGGUCAUGUGUCUUUUCCAUCGUCAGUUAGCUCUUUGUGGUCAAUUAUAAGGUUGGAUGUUGUUGUAUUCCUCGACUGCCUUUUCUUUUUUGGAUCAGUGGUAUAUUGUUUAAAAUGGAUCUACGGCUCAGUAAAAAUGCUCUUGUUUACUGUCAGUGUACAAAUGGUACUUUUUUGCCAGGUUAUGGUUGCCAUUAUGGCUCUUGAGAACCGAAGGUCUCGGAUUUCAGUUUUUGGGAUGAACGGGAUGAUGCCCUCAAGCAGAUGUGUAUGUCUUAAGGUCGAUAAGGAGAUGUGCUUGUCCUGA